rnacentral:rRNA from 1 species
AUUGAACGCUGGCGGCAUGCCUUACACAUGCAAGUCGAACGGCAGCAUGGGUGCUUGCACCUGAUGGCGAGUGGCGAAACGGGUGAGUAAUGCAUCGGAACGUACCCGGAAGUGGGGGAUAACGUAGCGAAAGUUACGCUAAUACCGCAUAUUCUGUGAGCAGGAAAGCGGGGGAUCGCAAGACCUCGCGCUUCCGGAGCGGCCGAUGUCGGAUUAGCUAGUUGGCGGGGUAAAGGCCCACCAAGGCAACGAUCCGUAGCGGGUCUGAGAGGAUGAUCCGCCACACUGGGACUGAGACACGGCCCAGACUCCUACGGGAGGCAGCAGUGGGGAAUUUUGGACAAUGGGCGCAAGCCUGAUCCAGCCAUUCCGCGUGCAGGAUGAAGGCCUUCGGGUUGUAAACUGCUUUUGUUACGGAACGAAACGGCGAGCUCUAAUACAGUUUGCUAAUGACGGUACCGUAAGAAUAAGCACCGGCUAACUACGUGCCAGCAGACC